UACGGAGGGUGCAAACGUUGCUCGGAAUCACUGGGCGUAAAGCGCACGUAGGCGGCUCGAAAAGUCGGAUGUGAAAGCCCUGGGCUCAACCUAGGAAGUGCAUUCGAAACUGCCGAGCUUGAGUACCAAAGAGGGUCGCGGAAUUCCCGGUGUAGAGGUGAAAUUCGUAGAUAUCGGGAGGAACACCGGUGGCGAAGGCGGCGACCUGGGUGGAAACUGACGCUGAGGCGCGAAAGCGUGGGGAGCAAACAGG
rnacentral:rRNA from 1 species